GGGGUCAUAGCAUAACGGUAAUGCACCUGCUUUGCAAGCAGUAGAUUCUGAGUUCGAAUCUCAGUGGCUCCACCA
rnacentral:tRNA from 1 species